rnacentral:lncRNA from 11 species
GGGAGAUACAUUCGGACAGGUAAGAUGGGCCAGAACCAUUGUAGGUCAAAACCAGCACUUUGAAUUGGGCUGGGUAGCAUAUAGGCAGCCAGUGGAGCUGACUCAACAUGGGAGUAGUACGCUCCCUGUAAGCCACUCCUGUUAUUAGUCUGGCUGCUGCCCCUUGUACUAGUUGGAGCUUCCGAGACCUCUUCAAAGGCAGCCCCACGUACAGCGCGUUGCAGUAGUCCAAACGGGAUGUAACCAGAGCGUGGACCACCGUGGCCAAGUCAGACCUCCCAAGGUACGGGCGCAGCUGGUGCACAAGUCUGAGUUGUGCGAAGGCUCCCCUGGCCACCGCCGAGACCUGGGGCUCCAGGCUCAGCGAUGAGUCCAGGAGAACCCCCAGACUGCGAACCUAUGCCUGGGCUAGCAUUUCAAGAAGCCUUUCCCUUUCUUUUUCUCCCAAAGAGGAGAGACUGGAAUCCUGAGACUUCUCCCUCCAACUCUGCCUCCCUUCCUUUCCUUCCUUCCUUUCCUUCCUUCCUUCCUUCCUUCCUUCCUUCCUUCCUUCCUUCCUUCCUUCCUUCCUUCCUUCCUUCCUUCCUUCCUUCCUUCCUUCCUUCCUUCCUUUCAGAAAGCCUGGAAGGUGGGAACAGCCCAAGUCGGAGGCGAGUGCGCGCUCCCGUUGUCUCCUUCCCUCCUUCCAUCCAUCCCGCCUCUUUCUCUCGCGCACAGGUAUGGAGUUGGAAGGAAAAGGCUUGCCUUCGUUCCAGGACUGACUGCCAGACCUUUCUCCGUUGCUUUCCUCUCCUCCUUCAGCCUCUGCUCCCCUCGGUCUCCCUCCAAACAACAACCGCAAGGCGCCCGGAGUUGCCACUCGCGGUCUCCGCCGGGUGCCUGGAAAGAAAGGCUCCAGCUGCGCGCUCGGUGCUCCUUUCCCGAAUUUGGGGAUGGAGAAAGAAGCCCUUCUUCCCGGACUCCGUCUCCAGCCUCUCUUCUUCCUCCUCCUCCUUCCUUCCUGGGAAGUGCGAGGAGAGAAGACAGAACUGCCCACCUUCUCAGCAACUGCUGGCCUCCAGUCUGUGUUGGAGGACAAUGUCUCGCCAGCCUUCAGUGCCACCAUCAUCAUCAUCGUCACUGUCAUCAUCUCCGGGAGUGCUUACCUGUGCUUUUUGAAAUACAUCUGUGCUGGAUGUUGUAAAUCCACCCAGGUGGUACCUGUCAGAAGAUUGGACCAAAGUAGAUCAGAAGAGCAAGUGUAACUGUAUUGUCCUUCUCAAGUCUGAAUUAUCACCUUUUUGAAAAACCUGCUGCAAUUGUAUCAAGGGCUCCUGAAAGCAGGACUACUCUUGAGUUCCUUGGUGUUAAAGCCAAUGCAGUCCAGUGGUCCUCAUGGACAAGUUAAUACAGCAAGUUAUUAUAAUAGUUCCUUCUAACAAUACCCACUCUUAUUUGCAAGAAUGAUGGUUUGUUAGGCAUCCAUCUUUUCUUUUCCUUUUUACAAUUUUAUGUUCCCUUGUUUAAAAUGAGUUCUGGUAUAUGAGGUCCAUAUCUCAGGACAGCCCUUCAUAGCAGGUUAGUCUUAUAUAGAGGGGUCCAAAACUAUUCAGUGAGUUUUUUGAAUCAGAAUGAAUGAGUGCCAUAAUAAUAAUAAUAAUAAUAAUAAUAAUAAUAAUAAUAAUAAUAAUAAUAAUAAUAAUAAUAAUAAAUUUCUUACCCACCUCUACUUAUAGCUUGAGGAGGGUUGGUUCUUGAUAUUGAAUACAGCAGAUGCAAAGAUUCUGAAGUUGUUGGAUUCCAGUAGGCUGGGCAAAUUCAGUGGGUCAGUGGGCUCAUUUUCUUCUCCUAGGACUUCCCAGGAGCCGAACUGCUUACUAAAAAUGGCCCUAAAAGUUAAAAUGUAGAAGUGGUUAAAAGUCCCAGUUUUAAAGAUUUGUAUUUUUGAUGUAAAUCGUACAAAUUCCUUCUGACAUCAGUUGAGAAGGUAAAUUACCACCCAUGGAAGCUUCCAAGAGAAAAAGUUCAGUGUUGUACUUUGAAAAAAGGUGAAACUACUAGAACAGUGGUUUUCAACCUGUGGGUCCCCAGAUGUUUUGGCCUUCAUCUCCCAGAAAUCCUAACAGCUGGUAAACUGGCUGGGAUUUUUGGGAGUUGUAGGCCAAAAUACCUGGUGACCCACAGCUUGAGAACCACUGCACUAGAAGAUGUUUCUUAACAAUGGUGAUAUGAUCACCAUGUGGAAUGAUGACAUGGAAAGAUCUGUUGAUACAUUUGUUAUCAAGCCCCCGCUCCAUUGUCCCUAAUUCCAAGCUGAGCAACAACUAGAAUGUGGAUGAAAGAGUCUCAGAGUGAAUACAAUCAAAUAUCAGUGAAAACUCUUUGUUGUAAAUGUAUCCUGAAGUACCUUUCAGACUAACUGAAAGAUGUUGCAGCACCUGAGGAAGUAGACUAAUUCUACAGAAGCUAAUGCUGCAAUUUCUUUAGGUGAGUCUCUAAGGUGCUACAACAUCUCUUUGCUUACUGAUACAACAGACUAACAUGGGCUAUGUUUGUGAAGUCUUUUCUAUGUUGUUCUAUGGGUUAAUCUAAAGUCCUAGUUGACCCAAAUGUUAGGGUCAUUCUUUUUACUAAAGUUUUUGGAGCCUAACUGAUUGCAUCCAAAUUUGCACAUGGACCUGAUUUUAAAUCACCUUGAAUUGUUUUAACUGUCUAGUGUUAACUUGUCAAGUGUUUGAUAUGUUUGUGUCUAUUUAAAUUUUUUUCUACUGCUUUUGGUUUUACUGUAUUUAUUUUUUACUUUAUUUUUAUUUCUUCUUUCUCCUGAUAUAGGGACUUAGGCAACUUCCCUGGGAGCUAAUAGCAUAAAGUGUGACAUAAAUAUUUUAAUUAAUACAUAUAAAUUGGCUCAAACAGAUCCACAGAUAUGUGCCAAAGGACCUCCUUCCCAUGUGAAGUAUAGCAAUUUAGGACAGAAGCCAUUAAUGUAAAAUAUUGAUUGUAAGUUAACUUAGUUGUCAUUCCCAUGUGUGGCACAUUGGGUGUAUUGUCAUAUGAUCAUUGGCCAGAAGUACAAAUUUGAUCCCUGAUGACAACUAAUGGUUUUCAUAUUAGGAUGUUGCUGUGCUUGCACUGUAUUUUAUUUCAGGCUUUAAAAGAAUUGUCCAAGGUCCUAAACCUUCUCUGAGCAUAGGAUUCAGCACCUUGGAUAGGUCCAAGGAUAGAAUACAGUAUUUUGCAUUUUUUUUACCAGUGUUGCUUUUUUCCCUUUUAGACAACAGCUUCUAAGUGACGCUUCAGUUACAAAGCUCUGCCAUUUUUCACUCUUUUACCUUGGAGAAGCAGAGCCAAACAUAAAGCAGGGUUGGGAUACAAGUGACCCUUCAGAUGAUUUUGUACCUGCCAUCAAGAUAACUGCGGUCGAACAACAUGAGGAGAGCUAAGCAUUGUAUCUGCCUGAACUUAUAAAAAUGUUACAAUCUGGAAAAGACCAAAAUACAUGCCCAAUAUAGGUCACUCCAAUACACUGGUGCCUGCAUAACGUUAAAUCAUGAAUCUGUCCUACAGUUCCAAGGCGGCAUCAGAACAACAUGUUUUUCAAGAUGCUGAUAGUCACCAUGAAUGCAUGGUUAACUAUGUACGGGGAAGUCACCUUCCCAGCACAACAGACUGUAUUUGUUUCUUUCAAAUAAGACAAUCCUGGGAUUAUUGUGCUUUUCUAAAAGCCACAGCCUGAGCUCCAAGCAGAAUUAUGAAAUGAGUCUGGUACUAUUUUUGAUAGGUGCUCAUUUAGCGAAGUACUGCAGUGUGUGCAGAUUUUGUAGUAUCACUGUGGCACUUUCAGUAAUGUUUAUGCUCAGUGGCUGUGUUUGAUUGCUCCUCAGUUGUUCUUUACCAACUUGUACAUUUGUAAAUAAACACAGACGUGUGGGCUCCAGUGCUCCUUCUUUCUUUUGCCAACAACAACUGGAUAGGUUUCUGGGUUGCCUUCUAUGCCUAAAGGCAGAACUGAGAUCCUACAUCAGGGGUCCUCAAACUUUUGAAGCAGAGGGCCAGUCCACAAUCCUUCAGACUGUUGAGGGGCCGAAUUAUCAUUUGAAAAAAAAAUACGAACAAAUUCCUAUGCACAUUGCAUAUGUCUUAUUUGUAAUGCAAUACAACAAUAACAAUUAAAG